UGGGGAAUAUUGGGCAAUGGAGGAAACUCUGACCCAGCGACGCCGCGUGCGGGAUGAAGGCCUUCGGGUUGUAAACCGCUUUCAGUAGGGAAGAAGCGAAAGUGACGGUACCUACAGAAGAAGCACCGGCUAACUAUGUGCCAGCAGCCGCGGUAAUACAUAGGGUGCAAGCGUUGUCCGGAAUUAUUGGGCGUAAAGAGCUCGUAGGUGGUUCGUUACGUCGGAUGUGAAAAUCUGGGGCUCAACCCCAGACCUGCAUCCGAUACGGUCGAGCUAGAGUUUGGUAGGGGAGACUGGAAUUCCUGGUGUAGCGGUGGAAUGCGCAGAUAUCAGGAGGAACACCAAUGGCGAAGGCAGGUCUCUGGGCCAAUACUGACACUGAGGAGCGAAAGCGUGGGGAGCGAACAGGAUUAGAUACCCUGGUAGUCCAGACCGUAAACGGUGGGCACUAGUUGUGGGAACCUUCCACGGUUUCUGCGACGCAGCUAACGCAUUAAGUGCCCCGCCUGGGGAGUACGAUCGCAAGAUUA
rnacentral:rRNA from 1 species